GAUGUUUAUGGAUAUCUUGUGCAGUGGUGGUAGGUCUGUCCUCUGGGCAGUGAUUUCAUUCGUCAAGUUUAGGCUCUAUGUUAGGAGGUCCAUUUUAGUGGCUAUGGCAUCUCUGGGGACUCUCUCUCUUCCUAUUAGUUAGCCUCUUGUCCUUGAUAGUUAAUGCUGAAGAGCUCUAUCAUACCGCUCCUAACAUGACUGAG
rnacentral:misc_RNA from 1 species